GCCAGGCAUAUGAGGAAGGCUAUGUUCUGAGAAACCAAAGAGGAAAGUAUUUUCCAAUAGGAAGGAUCUUAUGGCUCCCCUCAAAUUAAACUGUGUGGGCAGCUGUCUACUCUAGCUAGCUAUAUGGUCAACACCCACAGACGUAAUUUUCACUCUGCCAGCAGGAAAAGAAUGAACAACACUGUUUACUCUUAACUUUUAAUGAAGAAUGCCUGAGCUCUUUGGAGGGUAUUGUCUAAAUCCUAAUAAGAAGUAAGUAUAUGGCAUUGUUUGGGGGAUUAGUUUGUCCAUAAAGAUGUGAAUAGGGUACACAUUCAUGGGCAUGACCUCUGUUGCCCUCUGUAUUUUCUUGUCUACUGAAAUCAGUUGGGCAAUCUCUGUCUGUAAGCACAUUUCCCAAGAACUGGUUAGAGCCAGUCUUCACAAGAGGAACCUAUUAUGAAACCAGCUCCAGAGGAUAUGCACUUUGUUGAAGAUCUACUGAAAGAUAUACUUACUUGAAAAUGAAAUUGCUUGCUUUUCGUUCCCACCUAGCCCCUUGAAAACCAGAGAGACUUGGGGCUGAGUUAUAAUUAGACAGAGAGGGGAGAUGACAGCUGAGUCUGAUCUCCAUUUUUUUGGGCUCCACAGGCAAAGUUCUUUCUGCGCUAGCCAUUCAGUGAUCUUCGGGGCCGAUAGGGUCACCAGCAUAAACUGAGAGAGAAGAAACACCAGAGAGAGAUCAAACUCAACACAUGCGUUAAACACUGAGUUACCGGAGACACCUCACUCAUCAGAAAAUGAACGUAAUUGCAACAAUUUGAAGGUUAUCUGCUGCUUACCUGCUUUGCUAAAGCAGUCACUUUCUAAGAUGGUGUUAUCCUAGUUUUGAAUGCUUCAUAGAACCAGAGGUGACAAGAGAUCUAGAGUCAGAGAAUUCAAGUUCGAGUCCCAGCUCUGUCUCACACCAAAGGAGGUAAACAACAAAAAUCAACCAGCAAAGUUAAGUGAGUUUCAAGAGAAUUUCCUUUGGGGGCCGGCCCGGUGGCUGAGCGGUUAAGCUCACGUGCUCCGCUUCAGCGGCCGAGACUUUCGCCGGUUCACAUCCUGGGUGUGGACCUAGCACUGCUCCUCAAGCCAUGCUGAGGUGGCGUCCCAUGGAACAGAACUAGAAGGACCUGCGACUAGAAUAUACAACUAUCUACUGCAGGGCUUUGGGGAGAAGAAGAAGAAGAAAUAAAAGAUUAAUAACAGAUGUUAACUCA
rnacentral:lncRNA from 1 species